rnacentral:rRNA from 1 species
UGGCGGACGGGUGAGUAACGCGUGGGUAACCUGCCUUAUACAGGGGGAUAACAGUCAGAAAUGGCUGCUAAUACCGCAUAAGCGCACAGAGCUGCAUGGCUCAGUGUGAAAAACUCCGGUGGUAUAAGAUGGACCCGCGUUGGAUUAGCUUGUUGGUGGGGUAACGGCCCACCAAGGCGACGAUCCAUAGCCGGCCUGAGAGGGUGAACGGCCACAUUGGGACUGAGACACGGCCCAAACUCCUACGGGAGGCAGCAUG